GCAGUCUUGCUUACAAAUCUGAAAUUCUAUACAAACAAGCCACAGCCAUUGCUUCUACAGGAACUUCAGGGGACGGUAGCCUGAGUAGUUCCAACCCCAAAGUACCCUCCUGAUGUAGACAGAUGCUGCUUUUACCAUGCCCAUACAAAUCCAGGCCCCUACUUGAUGAUGGGAUGCAAAUCCAGAGCGAUGGUCAGCCUCAUCUUUGCUAGCACCAGCAGACCAAGAUGCACAAGUGGCUGUUUGGAGCUUCCAUAAAGGAUGUUCAGCAUCUGCCUGCAGCAUCUCCAAUGUAAAGAUGAUUCAGAAGUGCUUUAGCACCCCAGAGACUUUCAUGGUGGGCUGAACCCUCUAAAACGUUAGCUGGGUAUUUGGAAUUUCUAGCUUAAAAGGAAGGAUAGCUUCAAUUUUGGCUUUGAGGCAAAAGCAAGCCCUACAAUUGAGAGUCUCAGGCUUCCCCUCUCCAAACUUCUUUCCCCUGAGCAGAAGACACUUUUGCAUUGGCACUUGCCACCAUGCAGAAUACAGUGGAUCUGAAGACAAAGGCAAACUUUUUGCACAAUGAGUACAUCUGGAAAUUGCACUGAACAGCCUUCACUGCUUUGCUACCACAAACCAUAAUAUCUAACGUGGCACCGCUUCAGGGUCCUAGAUCUGCUUUCCUGCUAACGUUGCUCUAGCUGAUAAUGCUCAUCUCUUCAACUCUUCCCAGACAGGCCUGAAGGAAGGGAGCAAAGUAACUUCACAGGUAAUGAAGCAUUUAAUUAUUUAUUAAUUAUAGCUCUGUCCAGGUCCAAAAUGAACAGAACAGUCCCGCAAUUUACCUGGCCACUGGAGACUGACUCAACACUAUAUAAUGAUGCUGCUGGUGACCAUGCUGCCAACUCAUACAAUCCACCCAUCAUCACCCAGAAUUACAUGGCCACAGUCAAGGACAUGCAGGUGCUCUAGGUUUUACCUCUUUGCCUUACUCAGAACCACUUGUGCCACUCACUGCCAUUAGGAAGCUGUGACCUGGGAGAUGCAGAGCUUUGUCUUUGGAGCAGGAGGAGACCUGCUAUGGGCAGGCUAAGCAUUAGAAAUGCAAGUUCAUGGGGUGAAAGCAAGGACCCCAUGGGAAAAGGCUGGGAAUCAUGACUGUGCACAAAGAUCAGGGCAGACCCUGCGGUCCUCCAAGUGCAUCACAAGGGAAGGCUGCAAGUGUCUUCCCACUCCUGUGCUAUUAAAGCUCCCCUCUUUUCCUUCUGCUUCCAACUUAAAAAAGGGAUCUGAGCUUUAGUCAGAUGUGUUUUUAAAUCCUUUUCCAAGAGGCUUCUAUAGGUGCUGUUAUGGCUCUUUUCAGCAAGAGAAAAUGGACAAGUGACAUCAAAUGCAUGUAUUAUUUUGGGGGAAAAAAGGCAACUUUUUAGUCAUCUUGCAUACCUGCAACCACAGAACACAGGAUUUGCAAAUCCACCAUGUGACUUUGAAGGUAAUUGUGUUCCAUUAAUGCCAAUACUCUUGGAGGAAUGAAGUGUCUCAUCUCUAAAUUACUUCUGUGGUUUUAAUUGAGUAUCAUUUGCUUCACCUUAGCAGCUUGUGUAUGUGUCAGAGGAGGGAAUUCACCCCAAAGGAAGUUCCAUUUUUUUGGGUGUCUAAAGUAGCAAAUAAGCAACACUCGGUGUGGCAAUGAGAAACCUACACUUUUCUUCAGCUGGGAAGAGAAAACAGCUCUUUGCUCCUUUCCUCCUGCAACUUACUGCUUUUAUUGCUAUAAUUACUUCUAUGGUUUGAGCUUUCAAUGCCUGUGUCUUCCCGUCCAUGUCAGGACACAAGAACAUGGCACCCUGCAAAUGCACCCUGGUUUUUGCACCCCCACUGUCUGGGGUGGAAGGGGUGAGACCUGCAAGCAAAUGCCUCCUUAGUGCAAUGCAGAGGGAGUAAAGGCAUCAGCUAGAGGGGCUUGAUGGGGUGUUUUGGUCCCUGCUGUGCAGAGCAGUGAUUUGGUUUAUAUAAGACAGCGUUUCUAACACUUUCUACCCCAACCACUUGGUUGAUUAACUCAUGGUUAAUUCCUCCAGCAUGGCAUUACAUGAGAUCUUAAAACCUCUUUAUAAUCGCUUGCCCCCUCUUAAUCCGAAGCAGGUACACAGGCACUUCCACCAUGGAAGUGAUAAAGGAAAGCAGGGUGAAAAGGUAAUUCAACGAGAUAAACCUAAAACGUUAAAAGUAAAUAUGCAACUCGGACUGAAAUUGGCUGUUUGCUGCUAGACCAGGCUUUGCUAGGCUUGCACCUCACUGGCCAUGCCACAGCUUUGCUAACCCUGCUCUGGCAGAGCCUGGCCCGUGCCAAGUGCCUGUGUCAUGGGAGUGAGUUAAUAGUGAGAAGCCGAGGUGGCGCUGACAAGGCAAACUGCUCAUUGCACAACCAACUGAGCCUCGCGCUGCUCAUGGGUUAAUUUUAUACCAGCAAAGACUUGCCACCUACCAAGGAUUUAAACAAAAAUAACCCCCACUACCAUUUAGGCUUUACACUGAUUCCACUGAGGCUUCUAGCUGGAAAAAAAAAAGCAUUUCACAUAAAAUGUAAUAUUUAGAAUAGGCACAGGGCCUUUGGUCAAAGUCCAUAGGGUACAUGUUCAGCCAGCACCACGUGGGACGUGGUUCUCAUAAUCUCAGUGUCCCUUCCUCAGCUAGAGCACAAAAAACUGUGUUGAAACAGCAAAGUGUAAGAUAUUAGGAAUGAGAUCGAUGGACAGCGAUAUUAAAUUAAAUGUAGCUCACUUCCAUGCACUGUUUAUGAAUUAGUGGUCUAAUGGGAAAUGCUUCCCCCUUCCCUUAUUUUAGUGGAGAAAUCUGCAUAUAUGCAGGUUGCUUCGCUGAUGCAAGUAAAUAACUCCCCCAUUACAAUGAAUUUGGAAGACUCUUGAAUACAUCUGCUGUCAUGAGAGUUCAGAUUUAUAGCCUCAGACUCUGUUUAACUUGUAAUUAAUAUGGACUUCCGCAUUUCUUUUUCCUCUUCCAGAAUAAUAUCCUACUAGUCAUGACAGCAAAAAAGUGCCCUAUUUGGGCAACGAUUCAAUUUCUUCUGAGCUCCCAUCGACAUCAAGUCCCACUUGUCCAGAGCAGGGACUUGAUGGAACAAACUGCAGGGACCUGCUGGGGAAAUCUUAUUUGCUGUGGAUUGCUCCAUCCAACUAAAAAUACCAUUCUGCAACUUCAGAGAGGGGAUAAAGGUAGAAAUGAGUGAAAUGCAGGGAUUUGGACCUGCUUGGUGUCUUUCUGACUUGAUCUCUGUUUUGUCUUACCGAGUGCAUCAGGACAUCAGGGUGCAGGGAACAUGCCUACAUCCUGCAAGCACGAUGCUGGAGGCAUCUGCUAUGGAAAGGGCCAGGAUGAAGCUGUUGCUUCCGAACCCCAGGGACUGUUUUAUCUCCUGCAGCCCGCGCUAUGCUUGCGUGCAAAGCACAUCACCUCCACUUCCCGCAUGGCACAGGACUUGUUUCAAAGUUUCAUCUCAAUGAAACGAGCCCGCAAUCCGCACGCACGGCCGCAACCCCGAUUUACUCCUCGACACCCUUUUAUCUCCUUGCUGACCGGUGCAGGAGGUGGGGGACACGCACACACACACACUCGGUGAUCCCGGCUGAAGAAUUCCACUAACGCCAAAGCGCAGCUGAACGGCGAACGCAGCCUGCAGGAACUGUGCCUGGGUGGAUGUGUGUGUAUGUGUGUGUGUGUGUGUGUGAGUGCGUGUGCGCACCCGCGCCCAACAGGAAAUGCAACGGGGGGAGCCACGGAGAAGCUUCAAACUUCAAA